rnacentral:rRNA from 1 species
CUAAUCGAACGUUUUAAUUAAUCAUAAUUAAAAAGUGGUGUACAGGUGAGUAUAACGAUAUUCUUAGCCGACCUUAAAGUGAAGGUAAAUCCUUCAUAAUAAAUAAAGGAAAAUUUUUCUGCUUUAAGAGGACAAUAAAUAUCUUCGAGAUAGGUAGUAGUUAAGGUGAUGGCUUAACUAGCCAAAAACUCUCGUAGUCGAAUCUGAAAGGUUGAUCGACCACAUUGGGUCUGAAAAAACCCCAAUGCAAGUUAGUACAGCAGUGAGGAAUCUUGGUCAAUGGCCUAACGGCUGAACUGGCAACUUGGAGAAGUGGUAAGUCUUAUUUUGAUUAUAUCUAACGCUAUAAAGCGUAAUGAAUAUAAUCUAAAAGAUUGUAUUAAAAUUGAAUAAAACUUUGUUUACAUAUUGAUAAUGACAAUAUGUAUAUUAUGUCUUGACUAAUUACGUGCCAGCAGUCGCGGUAAUACGUAAGAGACUAGUGUUAUUCAUCUUAAUUAGGUGCUUUGUGAAGUAGGAUCUCACAUGUGUGCCUCAAACCAUCAAACUCCGGGGACUCCCUAAAGCUUUUGGGACCAAGCCUUAUAUGAAAAUAUAUAGGUGGCUGAAUUAAUUACUCAGGUACGGUAACAAGCCAAAAGAUGAUCGAAAGUGAAAUGGGUUAUCGCGGAUCUAAAUCAAUAAUAAAGGUACAGCCAAGGCAAAAUAUUAUUGUAAAAGAGCAACGAGUAGACGGUGGUUACAUUAAUAAUAGUUUAAUGUUAAGGUGUACUCUAAUGGACCUUGAAAGAGGUUAUCAAAGCAGAAUCCUUUCUAACCAUUUUAAUAAUAAUUUAAAAAGAUUAUAUAGUACAAAGGCAGUGCUAGAUAAUGAACAAAUAUCUCCUAAUUUUACUUUAAAUCCUUGAUUUAUUUCAGGAUUUAUUGAUGGAGAAGGUUGUUUUAGAAUUUCUUUUACUAAGAAAGAUAACUUGAUAGGUUGAAGAGUCCAAUUAUUUUUCCAAAUUACUUUACAUCAAAAAGAUAAACUUUUAUUAGAAAGUAUCAAAAAUUACUGAGGCGUAGGAAAAGUAUAUAAGUCUGGUAAAGAUACUCUUCAAUAUAAAAUCCAAUCUUUUACUGAAAUUAAGGCUAUAUUAAAUCAUUUAGAUAAAUAUCCUCUUAUUAGUAAAAAGCGUGCAGACUAUGAAUUAUUUAAAAAUGCAUAUUAUAUUAUUUUAAAUAAAGAACAUCUUACUAAGUUAGGAUUACGAAAACUGGUUGCUUUAAGAGCUUCUUUAAAUUUAGGUUUACCUAAACAAUUGAAAACUGCUUUUCCAGAUAUUAUACCUAUGACUAGACCUUUAGUAGAAGACAUAAAGAUCCGAAAUAUUCACUGAUUAAUUGGAUUUGUCUCAGCUGAAGGUUGUUUUCUGGUAGGAUUACGUAAAUCUAGUAGUUAUUCAGCAGGAUAUCAAGUAUAUUUAACAUUUAUAAUUACUCAACACAUUCGAGAUGAACAAUUAAUGAAUAGUUUAAUAGAAUAUCUAGGGUGUGGUAAUAUAAAUAAGAAGAAAGAGGUCUUUGAAUAUCAAGUUUCUAAAUAUUCAGACUUAACGGAAAAGAUAAUACCUUUAUUUAAUAAAUAUCCUAUAAUAGGACAAAAAUAUGAAGAUUUUAAAGAUUUUGAGAAAGUAGCUAUUUUGAUGGAAAAUAGAAAACAUUUAACCAUAGCCGGAGUAGAUGAAAUACGAAGUAUUAAAGUAAAUAUGAAUAAAGGUAGAAAAUUAAAUUAAAUUUAUUAUUAAUUUGUAUGAUAAAUCUGUUUAGUCACAGUUAGUGCCGAACUGUGAUAGCCAUGUUAAAGGGUACUUAGACGGUCAAUAUAGCUUCUAGAAUGUUAGUACUUGACUAGAGUUUGAUAUAAGAGGGCAGUACUUAAGGAGGAGAGAUGAAAUUUUAUGAUACCAAAGGGACUCGGUAAAGGCGAAGGCAGCUCUUUAUGUAAAAACUGACGUUGAAGGACGAAGGCACAGAACACAAACAGGAUUAGAUACCCAAGUAGUCUUUGCAGUAAAUGAUGAAUGCCAUAAGUUAGAUUAAGCUUUAAUAAUAAAGUUUAUCAGUAAAGAACAUAUUAUUAAAUAAUAUUUAGUUUAUAAAUGAAAGUGUAAGCAUUCCACCUCAAGAGUAAUGUGGCAACGCAGGAACUGAAAUCACUAGACCGUUUCUGACACCAGUAGUGAAGUAUGUUGUUUAAUUCGUAAAUACACGAAAAACCUUACCAUAACUUGAAUAAUUUUUACAGGAGUUGCACGGCUGUUUUCAGUUAAUGUUGUGAAACUAUGGUUUCCAUGUAAUUAACGUAAUCCCUGGCUUUAUUUUUUAUUAUUUACUAUAAAGCAUUUGAUCCUAUAUUUAGGAAAGAAAAAGGGGACAAAGACAAGUCAUCAUGGCCUUAAUGUUAUGGGCUAUAGACAUGCCACAUAUACCUAAACAAAGAGAUGCAAAAAUGUGAAUUUGAGCUAAUCUCUAAAAUAGGUUAUAAAUUUAAAGGAUUGUAGUCUGAAACUCGACUAUAUGAAUAAGUAAUUACUAGUAAUCGUGAAUCACCACGUCACGGUGAAUUAACCUUGGAUUGGUACUAACCACUCGUCACAUGCUGAAAAGAGCAUGCGCAAUAAGUUUGCUUUCUUAAUAAUUAGUAAAAAAAACAUAAAGGAUUUUAUAUAAUCUAUUAUUAAGAAUCUUCGUAUGCGUGGCUCUAAUUAGUGUU